UACGUAGGGACCAAGCGUUGUUCGGAUUUACUGGGCGUAAAGGGCGCGUAGGCGGCUUGACAAGUCACUUGUGAAAUCUCCGGGCUUAACUCGGAACGGCCAAGUGAAACUGUCAUGCUAGAGUGCAGAAGGGGCAAUCGGAAUUCUUGGUGUAGCGGUGAAAUGCGUAGAUAUCGGGAGGAACACCUGUGGCGAAAGCGGCUUACUAGACGACAACUGACGCUGAGGCGCGAAAGCUAGGGGAGCAAACAGG
rnacentral:rRNA from 1 species